AUCACUUCUCUUUUGGCUGAGAUCAAGUGUAGUGUUCUUAUCAGUAUAAUAUCUGAUAUGUCCCCCGUCUGGGGAACACAUAUUAAACUGAUUUUUGGAAUAGGGAGUUUGAAAAGGGGCUUGUCCUGUUCACUCCACGCAUCGACCUGUUAUUGCAGUACCUCGAGGCGCGGUGCACCCCCU